UACGAAGGGGGCUAGCGUUGUUCGGCAUCACUGGGCGUAAAGCGCACGCAGGCGGAUCGAUAAGUCGGGGGUGAAAGCCCGGGGCUCAACCUCGGAAUUGCCUUCGAUACUGUCGGUCUCGGGUCCGGGAGAGGUGGGUGGAAUUCCUAGUGUAGAUGUGAAAUUCGUAGAUAUUAGGAAGAACACCAGUGGCGAAGGCGGCUCACUGGUCCGGUACUGACGCUCAGGUGCGAAAGCGUGGGGAGCAAACAGG
rnacentral:rRNA from 1 species